CAAUAGCGUAUAUUAAAGCUGUUGCGGUUAAAAAGCUCGUAGUUGGAUUUCUGUCAAGGACAACUGGUCCGCCCCUCGGGUGAGCACAUAGUUUGGUCUUGGCAUCUUGUUGGAAACUGUUGCUGCACUUGGUUGUGUGGCGCAGGGUCCAGCACUUUCACUUUGAGGAAAUUGGAGUGUUUCAAGCAGGCACAUGCCUUUGGACACAGUAGCAUGGAAUAAUUAGAUUGGGCUUUUGCUCCAACUUGUCGGUUUCUGGAGCUGAGGUGAGAAUUAAUGGGGAUUGUUGGGGGCAUCCGAAUUUAGCCGUCAGAGGUGAAAUUCUUGGAUCUGCUAAAGACGGACAACUGCGAAAGCGUUUGCCCAGGAUGUUUUCAUUGA
rnacentral:rRNA from 1 species